rnacentral:rRNA from 1 species
AUUGAACGCUGGCGGCAUGCUUUACACAUGCAAGUCGAACGGCAGCGCCGGCCUCUUCCUGGCUGCUAGUGGCGAACGCGGGAGUAAUGCAUCUGAAUGUCCUCAGUUUGGCUGUAUAGCACCUCGAAAGCCCUAUUAAUACCGCAUACUACCUGAUGCUGCUAGCGGGGGACGGAAAGACCUCUUGCUAGUUGAGCGGCCGAUGUCGGAUUAGGUGGUUGGUGGGGUAAAGGCUUUCCAAGGCGACGAUCCGUAGCUGGUCGGUGAGGACGACCAGCCACAUGAGGACUGGGACACGGACCAGGAGACUGCGGGAGGCCGCAGUGGGGAAUUUUGGACAACAGGGGCAACCAUGAUCCAGCCAGGCCGAGUGCGAGGAGAAGACCUUCGGGUUGUAAACAGGUUUUGUUCGGGAAGAAAUCCUCUGGCCUAAUACCCCGCGGGGAUGACGGUACCGGGAGAAUAAGCACCGGCUAACUACGUG